UACGAAGGGUGCAAACGUUGCUCGGAAUUAUUGGGCGUAAAGCGCACGUAGGCGGCUUUGCAAGUCGGAUGUGAAAUCCCUCGGCUUAACCAAGGAAGUGCAUCCGAAACUGCAGAGCUUGAGUACUUAAGAGGAUCGCGGAAUUCCCGGUGUAGAGGUGAAAUUCGUAGAUAUCGGGAGGAACACCAGUGGCGAAGGCGGCGAUCUGGGAAGAUACUGACGCUGAGGUGCGAAAGCCAGGGGAGCGAACGGG
rnacentral:rRNA from 1 species